rnacentral:rRNA from 1 species
GGCUCAGGAUGAACGCUGGCGGCGUGCCUAAUACAUGCAAGUCGAACGGUGAUAGUAAUAUCAUAGUGGCGACCGGGUGCGUAACACGUAGCUGACCUGCCCCUCAGCGGGGGACAACAGUGCGAAAGCGCUGCUAAUACCGCAUACGCACCUCCGGGCUAGAGACCGGAGGCGGAAACUUACGGGGUUGAGGGAGGGAGCUGCGGCCCAUCAGGUAGUUGGUAGGGUAGAGGCCUACCAAGCCGACGACGGGUAGGGGGCCUGAGAGGGUGGUCCCCCACACUGGGACUGACAAACGGCCCAGACUCCUACGGGAGGCAGCAGUAAGGGAUAUUGCGCAAUGGGCGAAAGCCUGACGCAGCAACGCCGCGUGGAGGAUGACGGCCUUCGGGUUGUAAACUCCUUUUGGCCCGGACGAGGAAGGACGGUACGGGUCGAAGAAGUCACGGCUAACUGCGUGCCAGCAGCCGCGGUAAAACGUAGGUGGCGAGCGUUAUCCGGAUUUACUGGGCGUAAAGCGUGUGCAGGCGGUCGUUCAAGUGGUGUAUGAAAUCGCCCGGCUUAACCGGGCGGGGUUAGGCCAGACUGGACGACUGGAGUGCGGGAGAGGGACGUGGAAUUCCGGGUGUAGUGGUGAAAUGCGUAGAGAUCCGGAGGAACCCCAGCGGCGAAGGCGGCGUCCUGGCCCGCAACUGACGCUCAGACACGACAGCAUGGGGAGCGAACGGGAUUAGAAACCCCGGUAGUCCAUGCCGUAAACGAUGCCAACUAGGCGUCGGCGGUCUCAACCCCGUCGGUGCCGGAGCUAACGCGGG